rnacentral:lncRNA from 1 species
UUUGGUUCUAGUUGGGCAGUUCCUGUCGAAUCACAGGAGGAGGAGGAGUGUAAUCAUUGCGCAGUGUGUUUCGGCUUCUUGAUUAACAGUUGCAUUGGGCCUCUGAUGUAUGGGAAAAAAAGCUAACCCCAGCUUGAACACUAGAGAAAACUGCUGCAAUUAUGUAAGCUUUACCCUAAUUGCUUGGUUGAAUGAGAGCUGGAAGCGAGGGUGACAGAGUGGUGCUGCUAACUUGGCAAUUUGCAAGGGUCACUGUGGUUAAUUGGUGUCUGCAGAGCAGAACCAUUUUUCUAUGGUGAUCAAUUUAAGAUAUUGUCAUUUGUUGAAAUGAACCAAUGCCCUUGACUUCUUGGAAGAGGUGGAGGGAAUUGAUCACGUGAGAAUGUACAGUAAUCCAUUUCAGACUCUGGCUUUUGUGGAUUUAGACAAGGCUCCCCUGGAGGAAGGAAUGCCAGGGCAAGAAUCAACCAGAUUGAGAUCUUUGUGCCUGGCAGUCUGACAUCACUUGUAAACUCUGCCAAAAUUCCUUUGGAAGCAGAUGUUCCUAGAGGGGGAAUGGAACACACGCUAUUUGGAACAUAAAACUGAGUAAAACUGAUAUAAGACUGAUUUACACUUGACAAAUCUCCAGCCAAAAAUUUCUUUAUUGGCAGUUACUACCGAACUGAAUGAGUAAUCAACUAAGGGUCAGAAUACAAACUAGCGUCUCCGCCUCUCAGAACAAGCAUCACUUCCACGUGGAUGGCCUCCUCAGCCUCCCACUUCCAGUGCUUACUGGAGUCUAUUCCAAAUAGAUCUCCAUCUAUUGCAAAGCUCCCAUUAAAAAUUCUGGCUAUGGGGGCUGGCCCCGUGGCCGAGUGGUUAAGUUCGCGCGCUCCGCUGCAGGCGGCCCAGUGUUUCGUCGGUUUGAAUACUGGCCGCGGACAUGGCACUGCUCAUCAAGCCACACUGAGGCGGCGUCCCACAUGCCACCACUAGAAGGACCCACAACUAAGAAUGUACAACUAUAUACCGGGGGGCUUUGGGGAGAAAAAGGAAAAAAUAAAAUCUUUAAAAAAAAAAACAUCCUGGCUAUGACUGCUGAUAUUUAGAAGAAUAGCCUGAGGAAUGGUGUGUCCUCCUUAUUUUAUUUAUUGUUUCUGUGGUUAUUGCCCAGCCACUUUGCACCAGGCAUUGGGUUAGGUGA